CUUUUCCCUGCUCACAGCAUUUGCUGCCUGUGCUCUAUUCUUUCAUCUUCCCCUUGCUGCCUGUGCUCUAUGCUUUCAUCUUCCCCUUGCUGAAGAAACCAACAAGCAUAUUUGGCUCAUUUGUUGCUGCACACCAUGAAUCCAAGCUACCGUCGUAGAUCAGAAAGUGACUAUGAAUUUAUUCAUUUUGUACUUCCUACUUUAGAAGAUGCAUCACAAUCUUCUUCUAGUAAGAAACCAAUGCAUACAUCAAAACUUUCGGGGGCUUGGCGUGUUCAAGAGAGUUUAACAGGGCAUGAAAGCUUAUGCAAAAGGACUUUCCGCAUGGAAGUGGACAUUUUUCAAGCACUUGUUGACAAGCUGCGUGAGAAAAAACUCCUUGCUGAUUCAAAAGUACUAGCAGUAGAAGAGCAAGUGGCAAUAUUUUUGUAUGCAGUAUCCAAAAAUGCAACAAAUGAAACCCUACAGGAUUGGUUUCAGCAUAGUGCAGAAACAAUAAGCCGGCGAUUUGGAUUAGUGCUUGAUGCGAUCACACGGCUCACAAAUGUCUAUAUACGUCCACCUUCCCUCAACCCACAUCCAAUCUUGAGCAAACCACAAUUUUACCCUUUCUUUCAGAAUUGCAUUGGUGCUAUACACGGAACCCAUAUUCCUAUGUUCCUAUCACCAGGCCAACAAGAACCAUACGGGAACAGGAAGCAAACGCUCUCACAAAAUGUCAUGGUUGCUUGUGACUUCGACUUAAAAUUUGUGCAUGUACAUGCUGGGUGGGAAGGAUCAGCUUCUGAUGCAAGAGUUCUACAAGAUGCACUAAAUCAUGGUUUUCAUGUACCUCAUGGUAACUUUUACC